AGUCGAUACUGGAUAUCUUGAGUGCAGUUGAGGCAGGCGGAAUUCGUGGUGUAGCGGUGAAAUGCUUAGAUAUCACGAAGAACUCCGAUUGCGAAGGCAGCNUGCUAAGCUGCAACUGACAUUGAGGCUCGAAAGUGUGGGUAUCAAACAGGAUUAGAUACCCUGGUAGUCCACACGGUAAACGAUGAAUACUCGCUGUUUGCGAUAUACGGCAAGCGGCCAAGCGAAAGCGUUAAGUAUUCCACCUGGGGAGUACGCCGGCAACGGUGAAACUCAAAGGAAUUGACGGGGGCCCGCACAAGCGGAGGAACAUGUGGUUUAAUUCGAUGAUACGCGAGGAACCUUACCCGGGCUUAAAUUGCAGAUGAAUUACGGUGAAAGCCGUAAGCCGCAAGGCAUCUGUGAAGGUGCUGCAUGGUUGUCGUCAGCUCGUGCCGUGAGGUGUCGGCUUAAGUGCCAUAACGAGCGCAACCCUUGUUGUCAGUUACUAACAGGAUUUGCUGAGGACUCUGACAAGACUGCCAUCGUAAGAUGUGAGGAAGGUGGGGAUGACGUCAAAUCAGCACGGCCCUUACGUCCGGGGCUACACACGUGUUACAAUGGGGGGUACAGAGGGCCACUACCACGCGAGUGGAUGCCAAUCCCCAAAACCUCUCUCAGUUCGGACUGGAGUCUGCAACCCGACUCCACGAAGCUGGAUUCGCUAGUAAUCGCGCAUCAGCCACGGCGCGGUGAAUACGUUCCCGGGCCUUGUACACACCGCCCGUCAAGCCAUGGGAGCCGGGGGUACCUGAAGUGCGUAACCGCGAGGAGCGCCCUAGGGUAAAACUGGUGACUGG
rnacentral:rRNA from 1 species